UACAGAGGAUGCAAGCGUUAUCCGGAAUGAUUGGGCGUAAAGCGUCCGCAGGUGGCUAUGUAAGUCUGCUGUUAAAGAGCAAGGCUCAACCUUGUAAAGGCAGUGGAAACUACAUGGCUAGAGUGCGUUCGGGGCAGAGGGAAUUCCUGGUGUAGCGGUGAAAUGCGUAGAGAUCAGGAAGAACACCGGUGGCGAAAGCGCUCUGCUAGGCCGCAACUGACACUGAGGGACGAAAGCUAGGGGAGCGAAUGG
rnacentral:rRNA from 1 species